UACGGAGGAUGCAAGCGUUAUCCGGAAUGAUUGGGCGUAAAGCGUCCGCAGGUGGCAAUGUAAGUCUGCUGUUAAAGAGUCUAGCUCAACUAGAUACAAGCAGUGGAAACUACAUAGCUAGAGUACGUUCGGGGCAGAGGGAAUUCCUGGUGUAGCGGUGAAAUGCGUAGAGAUCAGGAAGAACACCAGUGGCGAAGGCGCUCUGCUAGGCCGUAACUGACACUGAGGGACGAAAGCUAGGGGAGCGAAUGGG
rnacentral:rRNA from 1 species